AACGCGAAGAACCUUACCUGGGCUCGAAAUGCUGUGGACCAGCUUAUGAAAGUAGGCCUUCCCGCAAGGGACCGCAGUAUAGGUGCUGCAUGGCUGUCGUCAGCUCGUGUCGUGAGAUGUUGGGUUAAGUCCCGCAACGAGCGCAACCCUCACCCUUAGUUGCUCGUCCGCAAGGAAAGCACCCUAAGGGAACUGCCUCGGAUAACGGGGAGGAAGGUGGGGAUGACGUCAAGUCCUCAUGGCCUUUAUGUCCAGGGCUACACACGUGCUACAAUGGCCGGUACAAACCGUCGCUAACUCGCGAGAGGGAGCCAAUCGGAAAAAACCGGUCUCAGUUCGGAUUGCAGGCUGCAACUCGCCUGCAUGAAGCUGGAAUCGCUAGUAAUCACGUAUCAGAACGACGUGGUGAAUACGUUCCCGGGCCUUGUACACACCGACUGUAC
rnacentral:rRNA from 1 species